AGCCUUGUGCAGUGGCAAUACCGCAAGCAAUGAAGCUUCAACUGAGCUGCGUUUAUUGCUAGUUGAAAACUUUAGCCAAUAACUCGCCCUCUGUUCGGUUCCGCACGGUUCUGAUACAGUGAGGCAAUUUUUUUAAGGUCCCAAAAGGGCCGA
rnacentral:snRNA from 1 species